UCUCCUGGAAACGGGUGGUAAUGCCGGAUGUUCCACAUGAGCGCAUGCGAGUGUGGGAAAGGCUUUUUGCGGCAUGGGAUGGGGUCGCGUCCUAUCAGCUUGUUGGUGGGGUAACGGCCUACCAAGGCGUUGACGGGUAGCCGGCCUGAGAGGGCGACCGGCCACAUUGGGACUGAGAUACGGCCCAGACUCCUACGGGAGGCAGCAGUGGGGAAUAUUGCACAAUGGGCGCAAGCCUGAUGCAGCGACGCCGCGUGCGGGAUGGAGGCCUUCGGGUUGUAAACCGCUUUUGUUCAAGGGCAAGGCACGGUUUCGGCCGUGUUGAGUGGAUUGUUCGAAUAAGCACCGGCUAACUACGUGCCAGCAGCCGCGGUAAUACGUAGGGUGCAAGCGUUAUCCGGAUUUAUUGGGCGUAAAGGGCUCGUAGGCGGUUCGUCGCGUCCGGUGUGAAAGUCCAUCGCUUAACGGUGGAUCCGCGCCGGGUACGGGCGGGCUUGAGUGCGGUAGGGGAGACUGAAUUCCCGGUGUAACGGUGGAAUGUGUAGAUAUCGGGAAGAACACCA
rnacentral:rRNA from 1 species